UCAGUUCUCACUAGCGCGAG
rnacentral:misc_RNA from 1 species